rnacentral:lncRNA from 1 species
CCAACUUUGGUGAUUGUGAUCCCUUGCUUAUUCCCAACAGCGGUCUCUGAUCCCCGGUAAUCCUGCUUGCUCCCCUAGCAGCGGUCUUUGUCCCUGACAGCGGUUUCGCUCAAUCCUCCAUGGUGAUCGGUGUUUCCUGGUAUUUGUUUCCCCCACCAGAUUGGGUUUUCUCCUGUGGGUUUGGUUUUCUCUUUUGAGAUGUAGUACCGGAUGUCUGUCCAUUGAUUCUUGGACCUGUUUGUGUUAGAU